rnacentral:rRNA from 1 species
UACGUAGGGGGGCAAGCGUUGUCCGGAAUCAUUGGGCGUAAAGCGCGUGUAGGCGGCUCGGUAAGUCUGCUGUGAAAGUCCAGGGCUCAACCCCUGGGAUGCCGGUGGAUACUGUCGAGCUCGAGUCCGGAAGAGGCGAGUGGAAUUCCUGGUGUAGCGGUGAAAUGCGCAGAUAUCAGGAGGAACACCAAUGGCGAAGGCAGCUCGCUGGGGACGUGACUGACGCUGAGACGCGAAAGCGUGGGGGAGCAAACAGG